rnacentral:rRNA from 1 species
GAUAAACGCUGGCGGCGUGCCUUAGGCAUGCAAGUCGAAUGGUUCCGAUCGUAAGAUUGGGACAAUGGCGGACGGGUGAGUACAAGUAAGGAAUCUACCCUGAAGUGGAGGAUAGCUCGCCGAAAGGCGGGGUAAUCCUGCAUAUAACCGCAAGGUUAAAGGGCUUAACUGCCCGCUUUAGGAGGAGCCUUACUCCUAUCAGCUUGUUGGUAGGGUAACGGCCUACCAAGGCUAUGACGGGUAGCUGGUGUGAGAGCAUGACCAGCCACAAUGGCACUGAGAUACGGGCCAUACACCUACGGGUGGCAG